rnacentral:rRNA from 1 species
GUCCACGCCCUAAACGAUGCAUAUUUGGUGUAGGUCAUUCAGUUGAUCUGUGCCGGAGCUAACGCGUUAAAUAUGCCGCCUGGGGAGUACAGUCGCAAGGCUGAAACUCAAAGGAAUUGACGGGGGCCCGCACAAGCGGUGGAGCAUGUGGUUCAAUUCGACGCAACGCGAAGAACCUUACCUGGGCUCGAACGGCUGGUUAACGGCGGUGGAAACACUGCUACUCCGCAAGGAGGUCCAGUCGAGGUGCUGCAUGGCUGUCGU